GGGGCUAUAGCUCAGUUGGUCUAGAGCGCAGCACUGAUAAUGCUGAGGUCGCUGGUUCGAUUCCAGCUAGCCCCA
rnacentral:tRNA from 1 species